UUAGCCGGGGCAGAGGAGGAAAGGAUAAGCUUCACAUCGGGUAACUCAAGUGCAAUCUGUUAACUCUUCAGAGUCAAGAUAUGGUCUGAUAUCUACACCCAAAAUUCCACAAGCUCUGAGACACCCUGGAGUCCAGAGACAAAACAUUUUUAAUUCCUAAAACUACAUAAACCUUACAUAUUCUCCACCGAAAGCUUCAAAUUAGGAAUGAAUGUACCGUUAACUUUUUUAAUAAUAUCUGGUUCAACAGACAAGCCAGCAUAUCCUGGUGAUACCCAAGUUCAGAUCAGACACUGCCACAUUUCCAGACACAAUCAGUGGCAACCUGUGUAAACUCUGAAAGGAGACAAUACACUGAAGGAGAUGGAGUAAAUCAGAGAUUUGCUUUUGAUGUAGCCAUAUAACAUCAUGAUAAAACUUCUAUUUUUCAGUUCUUAUGUGCAGAAUAUGUACUCCUCAUUGUUGCAUAAUUUAUUAAACCUUACCAACUUCAUUUGACUCAAGAGGGAGUUUUGCUUUUAAAAAGAGGCUUGCAUAAAUUGAGACACCAAAAUUAAUUUCUAGAAAGAAUCAAUCAGUUUCUCUUAGUUCUAGUAUGUCACCCUGCAUUCUUGCCUUUGCUUCUUUUAGAAAUGAAGAGUAAAUGUUCUUAUACUAAACAGAGAAAUGUAAAAAGUAUUGUUAUGGGGAUACAACUAAAAUUUGUAAAUGAGUUGUAUGCGGUAAUGACUUCUACUCACCCUUGUGUAUCUUUUUGAAAUGUGAAAUCAAUUUGAGACUUCUGCAAUUUGUAAUGUAUUCACCUUUAUUCCACAUAACAUUCAGAUGCAAUGUUGGAGAUUUAAAAAAAGAAAAUUAAAUUUUAUUUAGUUUUUCUAUAUAUUUCUGUUCAGAGGAAGAGUUUCUAACAUUAAAAAAGUAAUAACUGGUAAGUUUAACUGAUAGAUUGACUAGUUAGCAUGAACUUUUAACUAAAUUGUGAUGAGUAAUGCUGAUAGACAGGUUGCAAAUACCAUACAGUUACUAAAAGGAACUAAAACAUCUAAUGCUAAAACUAUGAUGGAUUCCUUAAAAGACAAGGCCAUGUAAACAGUUACGUAAACAGCUCUUUCAAUCUAAGAUACUACAUAUUAGAAAUUAUUUUAAGACUGUUUUGUAAAGCCUUUACUUAAGACAAAUAAAAAUAGACUACAAAUUAAACACAGAGUCUGAUUCUUCAAGCCUGAUGGCCAAAUCUUCUCUGGCCUUCAAAGGAGUUCCUUCCUGGAUGUACUUUCAGGAUAACUUCUUCUGAAACAGGUUCAUAAUUCUAUGUUAACUCUUAAUCAAUCAUUUAAUUUCUCUUUUUACUACACACACAUGGAACAUAGUUAAUUUAAAAAUAAGCAUAUCUAUUUUCCUUUUUCCUCUGAAGUUCACACCAAAACUUAUAUUAAAAAGUAAAACUUGAAAUCCUGUUUUUAGUAACUUACUGCUGAAAGCAGAUACUGCCAAUUGCACAAACCCAGAUACACAUGAGCAAUGAGGAAUUCUAGAUGCAUUAAAGCUAAAUGAAUUGAUUUUGCCAAAAGAAAAACCAAACAGCUUGUAGUAAGCAAGUAAUUAGUAAACAAAAGAAACCACAAAAGUAAUAAAAACUAUCAUAAAGCUAUUAACAUUACACAGAAUAAAAUGUUAAAUAAUAAUCUCCUUUCUAAAGUAAACAUGAAUUGCCAAAAUAUUAACAGCAACAAGUAAAAGGCAGCCUUGCAUUCAAGCCUUUGUUCCAGAGCGGGAACAAAGCACACUUUGGGUGAACACACACUUUUGUGACAUAGAAGUGCUUUGCUCAAUUGUGUCUUUUUCUUUGGUGACGUGAAGCUGGCUGCAGUGCUCGGAUGCCAGUCCCACUGCCCCACCUUUGCUCCUGUGAGCUCUCUCUCAGUCAUAGCUCCCAUCCCCAGAAGCAGCAAGCAACUUCCAAAUGCACAAAGUAAACCAGCUAUCUUAUUUCUUGUUGCCCACAGCACAGUGCAUGAGUUCAGAUUGAGUGGGGUGGCUGAGGCAUUUAUUGCAUUGCAUUUCAUUUGGAUUGUUUUCUGGGGGAAAAAGGAUCCUUGACGGUCACUGGUGCCUGAACUUCCAGACAGUCUCAGGUCCCCACACAGGGAUGCUCUUGUUCUGGUGGGUGACCCUGGGUGCAUGUCCACAGAGGACAAGAAUACAAGCAUUUUCUAUUUAACACAAUUUAAAUUAAAGCUCUGAGUGGAGGCUGUAGAGAGAAGAGCUGCUUUGCUAGCUUCCCACUCUAUUUCCCUAGGAGAGACCACUGCACUGAGGCUCAGGUAGGAGGACCAAAUACUUUCUCUGUAAUCUCAGUACUCCUUAGGUGGGAUCUUUAUGGUUUCCUAAUGCAGACUCUCCUGUCUCUCCUCGGAGUGAGGGCUGCUCUGAUGUCUAUCUACCAUGGAAGGUUCUGCUCUUCUCAAGACUCCCCCCACCAAAACCCAAAGAAAUUACAACAAAACAUCUCCCGUUGAGCUUAUAUACAACUUUGAGAAUAACAUAGCUAGUGUCAUGCUUAAAAGGGAUGGAUACGUCCUCACAGAGUGGUGAGAUUUCUUGUUUUUCUUGAGACAUUUCCCUAUUCCAUCUUUUGAGUCUGUUAUCACAAACCUGUCUUGAAAGGUUAAGCUUUUACCCCAGCAAAGACAAGUCAGACAUCUGAGAGGGGGAAAGAGGAAGAACCUUGAGAGCUUUACAGGAUAAGUCUAUCUCCUAUAUAUUGUGGCCAACUAGGAAGACUCAUCUGGACCUGAGACUAUUGGCUUCUAAGGUAGUAAGAAA